rnacentral:lncRNA from 1 species
CACAGGCAGCCGGAUGCUCCUUAGACACCCCCCAUCCCCCCUUAAAAGCCACAUUACCCCUCAGAAGUCGAGACAAGCGCUUUGCAGGGCUACAGCGACGGCUGGAUCUACGUCACAAGCCGUUGGCACUGCAGGGACAAUCCCUCCAUAACUCUUCUGGUUACAAGUCUCCGUACCAGGUCCAGGAGAGUUUGCGAUUAUGUUCUUGACAUGACACGUAGCAGCCAUAGUAAAAUGCAAGCGAGACCCCGCGCGGCCCUGUUUCAGGGGGUUCCUGUUAAGGUCUUCAAAGGAAAGGGCAAAUGGCACGGGUGCCUUGGAGGAGCGGGGUAGCCCAGCCCCACGGAGGUAAUGCCGCAGCAGGGCUGGGAGUGGGGGGAAGAGAGACACGCCUUACCUCCCCCGUCUUCAUCCGCGAAAGAAAACCGGAGUGUGGGAAGGAACAGCUUGCACGCCAGGAUUUUAGAAGACCACACAAAGAAUUGAUGCUACAGGCCUGUUCUCCGCUUAAAACCAACACCGGCGUGUGGCUUGCGCAAACGCCCGCCUGCCUCGGGGAAAUGAGUCCGGGCACUCGGCCCAGAAUCCAUAUGACACCAACGACGAUAAAGGACACACGAAGACCACUUCCCCCCAUAAUGGCAUUUAUUAACGGGACAUUCUACCACUGCAAACAAUUUCUAAAGAGCCCCCCUCCCAAAACAAACCCCAAACGAAACCAGGACAGCCGCUUGCUACACCCUUCUUUGCACCCCCACACGGGGAAAGGUGUCCAAACCCAGCCUGGAAUUCAAAACAGCUUAAUCCCCAGCCCAUGCAGCUUCCCGAGGCAGGGGCUUGUAAAUCAUCAGUGUCCAGGAAGGAGCUCCAGGCGCUGCUGGUACCAUCCAGGAAGAUCAAAGGAAACCUCUUCAUACAGUAAGAAUUUCCUCAAGUUAAAAGCAGCAGGUAAAAGCCAAGGGAGGCCAAGGUGGCUAAUUUAGCCCAUCCUCCCAUCCCUUCUCUCACUCCGAUUCACAUGCCCCCUUGCAAACAAUCCUCUGCCCAUUCACUACAGGCCCCAGAUCAGUUCAGCCAGGGAUCUGCCACCACCUUAAAACUCAGUGGCGCCAACGGCUGAGCGAUUGCCUCUUGCGAGCCCCUGAGUAACUGCGGCAUCAGAACACAGGCGAACGUUUUGAAGCUAAGAGAGAGGGAAGUUCUCCCCAAAAUAAAUCAGAGCCGUGAGCACCA